CGCAGUAGUUACUCCUGAGGUGGCGAGCGGCGGACGGGUGAGUAAUGCCUAGGGAUCUGCCCAGUCGAGGGGGAUAACAGUUGGAAACGACUGCUAAUACCGCAUACGCCCUACGGGGGAAAGAGGGGGACCUUCGGGCCUCUCGCGAUUGGAUGAACCUAGGUGGGAUUAGCUAGUUGGUGAGGUAAUGGCUCACCAAGGCGACGAUCCCUAGCUGUUCUGAGAGGAUGAUCAGCCACACUGGGACUGAGACACGGCCCAGACUCCUACGGGAGGCAGCAGUGGGGAAUAUUGCACAAUGGGGGAAACCCUGAUGCAGCCAUGCCGCGUGUGUGAAGAAGGCCUUCGGGUUGUAAAGCACUUUCAGUAGGGAGGAAAGGGUGAGUCUUAAUACGGCUCAUCUGUGACGUUACCUACAGAAGAAGGACCGGCUAACUCCGUGCCAGCACCGGCCGGUAAUA
rnacentral:rRNA from 1 species